rnacentral:lncRNA from 1 species
CCUAAUUAAUCUUUGAUUUUGUACCAAAUAAAUACUAAUUCAGUUAAGGUAAAAUCUUAAAUGCUCCUAGAGAUUAAAUGCUUCUCUUAAGUACUGUUGAUUCAAUCUCUUCGGUUAUUUUUAGCAGAUUUCUUUGUGGUUAAUAGGCAAUAGCUUGCUUUGAUCCGUAAUGAACUAAUUUUAAACAUACCUUCAUCACUAUUAUUUUUUAGUUAAUUAUCGACGAAUUAGGCAAGGAAGGCUACUGUGAACAUAUGAAAUUAAACUAUAUUAACUUGCUUCUUGUUGUUGGUUAUUUAAGAACUACAAGAUGAAGGAGAAACUUAUGAUUUUUUGUUUCUUUUUUGNNNN